AGUAGACUGGACAGUCGCGCUGAGCUGCGGCGCAGUGAGGAAAGUCCGGGCUUCAUAGAGCAGGGUGCCGGUUAACGGCCGGUAGAGGCGACUCUAAGGAAAGUGCAACAGAAAUAAACCGCCUGUCAUUUGUGCAGGUAAGGAUGGAAAGGUGGGGUAAGAGCCCACCGCUCCCUCGGUAACGCGGGAGGCUCUGUAAACCCCACCUGAAGCAAGACGAAAGCGGAGUAAGAGGCUGCUCGUCUCUCCGCGAGGAAAAGUCGCAAGAUGCUGUUGGCAACAACAGACCAAGAUAGAUGGCUGUCCACGACAGAACCCGGCUUAUAGGUCUGCUCCU
rnacentral:RNase_P_RNA from 1 species